GCCCGCAGACGGGGAGCUUUGGGAGCCGCAGUCCUUGUUCUGUGACUUGGCACAGGAAACCGUGGCCGCGGUUGCGUUGGGGCACAUGUUUGCGGGUUGUAUUUUUUUUCUCUUCCGCCACAGUUACUCUUACCUAAGCAAGCUGAACAGUCUUUAGCUUUUCCGACCUCCGUCAGGUACAAAUAAUUAGAGUUUAUUGCUGAAAUUACAUAACAAAAGAUCCCAUUAGCCUUAUGACUCUGGGGUGAUGGAAUCUUAAUAACCCUGUUGACAUGGGCUCAGCCGAUACUGGUGAGUUACUCUUGCCAGAGAGCCUUGGACUCGGUCCCUUUCUGCAGAUGGGGAAAGCAUGAUUUGCUGUAGGCUAGUGAGGGGUUGCUAGGAGCACGCUGAGGAAAUGCUGGAGCUCUUGCCCGCGCAUGAUGCUUUGGAGCUUCCUGUGGCUCAUCAGCUAGAGACGUUACGCCCCAGGCCAGAGUGGGUUCUGUGGAACUCUAGGCCCACAGAGCAUUUUGGGAAAAAAAAGUUUCAUGGCCAAAUAAGUCUGGGAAACUGCAUCAUUACCAUCAUCCGGGUUGGGAGGCAGCGGGGCGGGCGUGUAUUGGUACUCUGUGAAGGCUCUGUUAGUGUCCUAACUCUUAGAGCUGCUGAGCAGGCUGUGUGUGAUCCAGUCUGACACAGAUGUAUUUGACCAGAAACUCCUUUUUCCUGUAUUUUAUGAACCACCUAAAGAACAGACUGAUGAGCACUGCGGAACAGAAUGAUAGACACAGAACGAACAGACUGAUAAACUCAACUUUCAAGGUGUCUUGUUUCUGUUCUGUAAGACACUGAUCUCAGCUGUAGAUUUAACAGUGCGGCUUGGGGAUUGUUUGAUACAAGUUUGGUUUCCUGGUUGGGAGGUUUUCCAAAAGCACCCCCAACGCUCCUCAUCAGCAGGAAUGACUAUCUCACUCUGUUGGCGACAGGUGGCAUAUUUUUGUUUGAGCCUCACACAAGCCUUAUCUUGCAAGCGAGUCGAAUUCCACAGUUGUGGCCUCGGGCCACAGAUGCCAGAAACCUACUCAAAACAAAACUCAGCGGAAAAAAAAAAAAA